UACGUAGGGGGCUAGCGUUGUCCGGAUUUAUUGGGCGUAAAGAGCGUGUAGGCGGCCAGGUAGGUCUGGUGAUGAAACUCGAGGUCUAACCUCGAGAUGUCAUCGGAAACCAUCUGGCUAGAGUCCGGAAGAGGAGAGUGGAAUUCCUGGUGUAGCGGUGAAAAUGCGCAGAUAUCAGGAAGAACACCAAUGGCGAAAGCAGCUCUCUGGGACGGUACUGACGCUGAGACGCGAAAGCGUGGGGAGCGAACAGG
rnacentral:rRNA from 1 species